AGUAGCUCCCGAGCACGCCGGAGGCCUGGCCUGUGGAUGAGAUUGUUCCUUAUUUCCCCAGCUUCAGCACCACAGAAGAGACCAGAGUCUACCUUGCCAGCUCCUCUAGCACCGACCACGUGCCAAUUCAUGUCCUGAAUGCUCACUUCACUUCUUCACCUUGCUUCACUUCACUUACUGCACGGGAACAGAAAAGCCUAGAGAGGAUGGAUUACCUGUGCGGUUGCCUCCCUCUGCAGAGUGGGCGUGUCUCAGGAGCUUCUCUUCUUCUCCAGCCCAGUGCGGCCUCGUGUCAUCCAUAGGACCCACCGGCAGAGGGCAGGGCCUGCGAGUGGGGCCAGCCUCCUGGUGACUCUCGCCUCCUCUUUUCCAGCGGACGCUACCAGAGGACGAAGGUCUGACUCUGGCCAACGGCCCAGAAUUUCUGGCCCAGUUUUGCCUGAGGAAGCCAACUGUGCAGGAGGUCAGGAUCCCGGUAGGGUGAGAGUGGGAAAGUUAACAUUCCCAAGAGACUCCAAGCAACAGGAUUUCCUGACCUGGGACUAUUACCUUUCUCACAUUACAUGGCCAGAUUUACUUCCUGCUAUUAUUAAAAGUACGAAAAAGAUGAAGAUAUGUGUUUAAUGGAAACAAGGGCAAGAGUUUGCCUGACUGGACUUUGAGGAGGCUGUAGGAUCAUGGCGCUAACGGCAUUUGGAGGGCUGGGAAGGGACUCUAGCCCUGGCUUUACCUGCCUUUGUCAUCAGCUGGAGCAAGCAACUCCGCAACCUCGGAGCCUCAGUUUCCUUUUCUGUAAAAGGCGGGGAGGGUGGGUGGUAAGUGCAAUGCUGAAUCAGAACUCAUAGAGCUGCUGGGUGGACAUGUGAAGUAAAAGAGGAGACAGCUUUUGCUCCUGAAGGAUGCCAUUUGCGUUUUCCUCAUCAGUUUGAUCUCCUCCAAUCAUCCAGCACCUCCAUCUGACCUUCUCAGCUGAGAGGUCCUCAGUGUUUCUGUGGCCUCCAGGAGAAAGGUCCCCCUCCCCGGCUGAGGCCAGGCUGAUGGCAGGCUGCACGGCCAGCCUUCCACAGUCACCUGAAGGAUACAGAAAAGGAAGAGCUGGAGGCUUCUAGCAAGCUGCCGAACUGUGUCCUCCAGCUGCGCCCAGCCCCCUGGAGGUAGCGCCGGAGCACGUGGUGGUGGCUAUGUAGGAAGGCCCCUUUCGAGCCGCCCUAUACUGUCUUUGGGAUCUGCUUUUUACUGCCACAGCCUAUGUGCUCCUGAUUCUUCUCUCAAUCCCUGGAUGGAAACCGGCCUCUGAUACUUGGCUCUGCUUCCUUGGAGGAGCUACUUAACCAUUCAGUCCUCUCUGCAGUUAGCUAUUAAGGUUGUCCUGCGAACUGAAGCAGAGAGUCCCCGCAAAGGGUGCAGAGUAGGGCACCCACAGAGGAGCCUCUAAAGCACUUUCCAUGAGGUGGAUGGCUUCUCCUCCCCAAGGGACCCAGGAAGGAAAGGAGAGCUGCUUCUGCCUCCCCAGCAGAGAGGGACCUUCCCAGAGAAGAUGUCUUGCGCCUCACCUGAUCUUGUUCUGAGAGUAGGAGACUGGAAGAGAAGCGUUCAACUCCCCAAACACAGCUGGGUUUGUUUCGUUUAAUCUCCCAGCCUGUUUUUCUGCUGUCCUCCUGAAGAAUGUUUAAUCUCACAGUUAAAACCACCAAAAGCGACUUUUUUCCCCCUCAACUGCUCAGUAACACAUGACCGUGCAAAUUCGUUUGGCCCCAGCGCCACAAGUCAUAAAAGGCAUCUAGUGGGCGGCAUGAGUCAAUCAGGCCUUUGGACGGUGACGUAACCACAGCUUGUCAGUUUCCCCAUCCAGGCAGCCCCAAUCCCCCAGUGCAGACAUCUGGAGCCAGGGAUUGACAAGUGGAUUCCAGGAUUGGGCCCUGCCUCCCGCCCUGUUCAGUUCCAGCCCAGCCACGGCCGCCGCCAACGAGGACACGCACUGUCUUUCUGCACAUUCCCACGUACACACACCCCCGCAGCCCCCUCUCCACUCAUUCCUGCAUUUCCGGCAAUGUGAAUUCUGACAGCUCGGGCAGUGUCAGCCUCUCCGGUGCAUUCCUCACCACACCACCUCACUGCUCCCGAGCCUGCUGACAGCACUCCCCGCCAUACCUACCAAGCCGAAGGUGCAAGGAACCUCUUGAUCCCCACUGUGUCUUUGUCCCAGGGCCACAGCAAAAUAGCACCCCCCUCCCCCACACACCCUCUAGCCUAAUUUAUUAGACUUUUAAACACAUUUAUUUACUGUGAUAUCUACACCACACCAAACAUCUGGAGGGAAACCGGGAGACAAUCCACCAGGAAUUUAAAUGUUUGUUCUGCAAUGUAACUUUGAAAACCGAACCAGGAAAACUUGACAUCUUUAGCCAAUUGCUUGGUGGUGAGUAGACUUAAGCCAAUAUAUAAUCUGUAAAGGUUGUCCCUCUUUGCCCUCUCUCUAUCCAUGAAACGCAUUCACCAAACAGCCCAGAAAUAUUUCUUUCUUCUCCUCUCAGAGGUAUGUGAAACCAACCUGAAUCAACAACAUAGUUGUUCAACCAGCCUCACUGAGAACGAAGGCAUUUCAGAGCUGGAAAGACGCUAGGGUCUGGGGUCUUAUCUUCCACAUUUAUCUGCCUUAUUAUAAUCCAUCCAGUCAUCCUCUUUGCCCUUGCCAGAUCUCAUCGCUUACACUACCACUACCGAAGGAGCAUAACGUCUGUGACUUUUCUUUUUUUUUUUUUUUUUUUUUGAGAUGGAGUCUUGCUCGGUAACCGGGCUGAAGUGCAGUGGCAGGAUCUUGGCUUACUGCAACCUCUGCUUCCUGGGUUCAAGUGAUUCUCCUGCCUCAGCCUUCUGAGUAGCUGGGACUCCAGGCAUGCGCCACCACGCCCAGUUAAUUUUUGUAUUUUUAGUAGAGAUGGGGUUUCACUAUGUUGGCCAGGUUGGUCUCGAACUCCUGACCUCGUGAUCCAUCUGCCUCGGCCUCCCAAAGUGCUGGGAUGACAGGUGUGAGCCACCGCACCCGGCCACGUCUGUGACUUUUCUAAAGCUUUAAGAUGAUGUCACCCAUAGGCAGAAAGGCCCACUCAUUUCGUGCAUCUGCAGUCACUCUUCUGACGAGGUGCGGCUCUCUUUUGUUCUAUCAAAGAGAAAGCCAGUCUAAAUUAAUGGGAAACUAGAGAAUUAGGUCAUUUUUCAAGAUGAAAUUGCUGGUAGCUUAAGGAAUCAGCUACUUGAAUCCCAUGCUAAAAAAGUGUAACUCCUGAGGAGUGAGCUCUUCUUUCUUCCUUCCAUAAUGUCAGGCACUAAGGGAGGUUCAGAAACACAGAGCAGCAUCUACUCCUUUCUCAACGAGCGUGGGGUCCAGUGCAGUUGGCCCUCAUUUAACAAAUAAUUACACCCAUGCGUGAAAGGUCCAGUGGGGAAACAGUGCGGGGAGCCUCAGGCAGAGCUGAUUCAGGCCUGGGGAGGCACGGGAGCCACAUGUUCAGGGUCCACAGGCCCAGCGGAGUGAUACGGAAGUUUCCAAGAUGGUAAGCCUCUCUCCUGGCCCAUGCUCACCAACGGGACCCCAUUCCUAACCAGGCUUUCCCUCUCUCUCUUUUAAGUGUUCCAGGAAUGUUCCUACCCCUGCGUCUUUGCUGAAGCCCCUCUUGCCUGGGAUGCCCUCUGUCCUCUCUUUCUGCCCACACACAUCCUGCCAGUCCUUCAGACAGGGCCAGCCUCACGGGCAUAGGACCUGAGCAGUUUCACAGGGCCCUAUGCACAGAAGGAUCCCAAGCUCGGUUGAUUGCUCCGAUCUUGCCAUCUUGAAACUCUUUGAUAAUUUUAUCUUUUAUCUUGUGUUUUGGGAGUGAAAUCCAAUGGGAUAUUGGGGCCUGCAAAGGAGAAGAGGAGAUCCGCACAAACCCGUUCCUGGCUGCUGCAUUCACCUCCAGCGUUUGUGAUGCCCCAGAGCACAGAACUCCAGGGAGCCCACGAUGCAGGAGAGUUCAGCGACAUUCACUGAGUACAAGAGAAGUGAGUUACUCCUGCAGCUGAGCACGGGGGGCGCUGGCAACUGCGAAAGGUCUCGCUUUCCAUUCCAACCAGAACUUGCUCCUAGCGCAGACAGAAGGCCGUGGCAUUCUGAGAAACACACAUGAUGAAGGAGCCCUGUCAUAUCCUCUCUUCCUUGCAUCGCUUCCCCGUGUGAGCAACCACUUGUGCUGGAAAUGAUGACAAGGAAGGACCGGGAAAGACAGGGCCACCCGCAGUUCCUUUUCCUUGACGUCUUUCCUUCCUCAUCAGCGAGCUGAGGUGGAGAGCGUUGGUAGAAUGUGUGCAUAAUAAGAAGUGAAAUAAAAACAGUCGAGUUAGUAUUCUACUGUUUCCACUGUUCUGGUGAGAACAAAACACAUAUGCUGUAUAUGCUUUGAAAUACAAAGUGUGUAAUUUUAGUGAUUCUGCAUAGGAGGUUUUCCCGUUGCACUGGGCCUCACAAAUAAUGUAGCCAGCCCUGCCUUCAAAGUGCAUUCAAGUGACUCCCCCUUCAUAAUCACUUAAGCCUGGAGCCACGGCCUUGCCCCUGAACACGUAGAACAGUCAUGGCCGUACCAACCGUGAGCCAUUCUUGCCUCUCUCUCUUUUGUCUUAUUCUCUUGUCAUCUGUCCACCUCGCAGGACUGUUGGGAGGCACCAAUGGACUUUGCAACUGGAGAUCUCCCAACUGGACCAUGUCACUGUUAUGUUUAAUUUGCACUGUGCACAGUAGGUACCCAGUCAACGUUUGUCGAAUUCCAUGGACUGGGCCUUAUACCUCCGAGGAUUUUUCACAGCAGUAGCAUGUGCACAUGCACAGAACGAGAACACAACCAAUGCUUGUUUGCUGGUGAAGACCUGGUCUCAGUAUUUUGCCCAGGAAACCCUUUCUUCAUGGACAGCAUGAGGCAAGCUAUGGCCCUUGCUGUGGUCUCAGUGGUUCAGCACGGAAGAUGAAGAUGACGGGCAGUCUCAGAAUAUUAGCUUUAGAAGGGACUUUGGAUCCUUUUGAUUUUGGUAGGUGAAAUACUUUUUAAAAAUAAAGAAAACGGACUUUGGACAAAUGCUCUCAUUUUGUAAAUGAAAAAGUAGAGACAGGAAGAGUAACUGAUUUGUCCAAAAUCAAACAAAGUAAAUUGUGUUGCAUCCUCUCCAUCCGUAACCACCUUCGCCUUCCCUAACUGCUCCAUGUGGCCUGGGAAAGUCCACUUCACCUCGUCUUAGAGGUGGGCUUCUGAUUCUAGCUAAGCCAACCCCCA
rnacentral:lncRNA from 1 species